ensembl:lncRNA
CUCAGCCAUCCAGGUUCUUCAAUUAAACACAAAGCCUCAGCUAACCUUGAGUUUAACAGGAGCAACCUCCUCGUAUUGGAGAGAGCUGAGCCAACAUAGUUUUGAUGACUGAAUGUUUCCACAAACAUUACAGCAAAAAUUAGUGACAUAAGCAAUGCUGAGUUAUUUAAAUCUUUGUCCUUACUGUCAGUUAAGCAACUUCUGCCUCAAAAUCCAAUAUAUGAGUUUGGCAUCUUAUUACUGGUGAUGAAUCAUUUCCUUCUGCAUUGGUUACUUUGACUGACCCUUGAAAAGGCAACUCAUGUAGAAAAUGUUCAGUACCUACAUUAUUUCUCAACAGGCAAUAUAGAUUUGUUGAUUGUCAGUCACAGAUUCACUUACGCAGAACUAAGGAAAACGCACGGAGGCAGAAAUACUGUCUGCUGUUUAAUUUCUUACUAUUCCAGCUCUUUAAUUUGUUAUUUAUGAAGUGGUAGAAUUUAGUAGGACAAUCUGAGCUAAAACAUGCAAUUCGUUUUUAUCCAGAUUUCUUUACAACUUUAUUCAUUUUGAGGAAAUUGCAGGAAGCACAAAAUAAUUCCCUUAGAAAUGAAGUAGCUGACACUUUACAUUUAUUACAGCUGUGAAGCCUUCAAGGUUGAUGAGUAAUAAUUUUUCAUUCUCAACAAUAGCUGAACAGAGAAUGCUUGGAGACUUAUGAAGAUGAUUAACAGACUGUGCAUUCCCAUGCAAUAGCAUCAUGUUAGUAAUUCACAUCAAAAUAAGUUCACCAUUCACUACCAUGUAGGAAAGAAAUGAGUCAUUGGAACCAGUUCUGUGUUACAGACCACCUGAUCAAAGGCAGAGCGAGGCCACUCACACCUGGAUAGAGAGAUGAAGCUUGAAGUGGAAACUUGGAGCAAAUUGCACCAUGACAGCUACAUACAGAGAAAGAGCUUGCAUGUUUGGAAUCACAGAAAAGAAACAUGCUGUGUCUUGAAAGAUAAAAAAUAUUACCCUAGAACUGUCCAGAUUUUUAUCAUGGAGUCUUGUUGACCUUUUCCAUUACACUGAACAUUCCAUUCUAAAGCAGAAGAAAUCUGUGUCCUUAUUUAUUUCUUUUUACAAACAGAAGGGGAAAAGCACAAAUAAAUAAUCACUGCACCCAGGUAAUUUUAAACA